UCAGGAAACUGGGGCUAAUACCGGAUAGGAGCUCCUGCUGCAUGGUGGGGGUUGGAAAGUUUCGGCGGUUGGGGAUGGACUCGCGGCUUAUCAGCUUGUUGGUGGGGUAGUGGCUUACCAAGGCUUUGACGGGUAGCCGGCCUGAGAGGGUGACCGGCCACAUUGGGACUGAGAUACGGCCCAGACUCCUACGGGAGGCAGCAGUGGGGAAUAUUGCACAAUGGGCGGAAGCCUGAUGCAGCAACGCCGCGUGCGGGAUGACGGCCUUCGGGUUGUAAACCGCUUUCGCCUGUGACGAAGCGUGAGUGACGGUAAUGGGUAAAGAAGCACCGGCUAACUACGUGCCAGCAGCCGCGGUGAUACGUAGGGUGCGAGCGUUGUCCGGAUUUAUUGGGCGUAAAGGGCUCGUAGGUGGUUGAUCGCGUCGGAAGUGUAAUCUUGGGGCUUAACCGGCAGCGGGAUUUCGAUACGGGUUGACUUGAGGAAGGUAGGGGAGAAUGGAAUUCCUGGUGGAGCGGUGGAAUGCGCAGAUAUCAGGAGGAACACCAGUGGCGAAGGCGGUUCUCUGGGCCUUUCCUGACGCUGAGGAGCGAAAGCGUGGGGAGCGAACAGGCUUAGAUACCCUGGUAGUCCACGCUGUAAACGGUGGGUACUAGGUGUGGGGUCCAUUCCACGGGUUCCGUGCCGUAGCUAACGCUUUAAGUACCCCGCCUGGGG
rnacentral:rRNA from 1 species